GACGGAGGAUGCAAGCGAUAUCCGGCAUUAUUGGGCGUAAAGCGUCCGUAGGUGGCCUAUCAAGUCUGCUGUUAAAUCCCAGGGCUCAACUCUGGAUCAGCAGUGGAAACUGAUAAGCUAGAGUGCGGUAGGGGCAGAGGGAAUUCCCGGUGUAGCGGUGAAAUGCGUAGAUAUCGGGAAGAACACAAGUGGCGAAGGCGCUCUGCUGGGCCGUAACUGACACUCAUGGACGAAAGCUAGGGGAGCGGAAGGG
rnacentral:rRNA from 1 species